rnacentral:lncRNA from 1 species
GGCCGGGAUGUUCUGGAGCCGGGCGAGGGAAGUUUCCAGGUGAUGCUGAUGCCGAUGUUGCUGGCCAGAGGACUAAAUGUUGAGAACCGUUGGAUUUGAUAAUCUCCUCUACAGUUGUAUAAUUCUAUGCCUCUUUUCCCAACUCCUUUUCAAGUUGUAGCACCUCUCCUUUGACUUCUGCAACAUUAUUUCAUUUAAAAAUUGCUAUAUGGCGAACUGAGGUUUAAAAUUUUUAAAUGGAUUAAUUUUAUCUGAGUUUUUCUUCAGAAUUCCAUAUAUUUUGUGAAGGCGUUGUUCAAACUCAGCACCACCAAGCUGCCCUGGAAUGGAACUUCUGCUCAGUUCUUGGAUUGAGGGAUGGAGGAGGAGUUUACUUCAUUCAUUCUCAGGGACUCUUAACUGGUUACUUUUCCUUUAAGAAUAAACUUUGGGUCUUCUAAAGACUUAAAGAAACUAAAUCAGUUGCAAAAAUAUCUGCCUCUGAGAGCUCAGGAGGAUCUGCUUUGUGGGAGCAAAGGUAGUGAGUCAUACCUGGAAGCUUGCGCCUCUUCAUCCAGUCAAGUCUCCUAGGCAACAGUUUAUGCAGCACUUAAAAGAUGAGGAGUUAAGAGGAGAAAAUGGAAAAAAAAAAACAACAGAAGUACUUUUAAUGGAACAGAAUAAACCACUGAACAGCAAUUUCCUGGCCAGAGCAGGAACUAGAGCAGAGUCUGGGAGAAGUGACCAUGCCAGGACGGUUUUCCCACCUGUGCUUCCCUGCACGACUGAAAGGAGGGGUGUGUCCGACCCUCGCUGCAGUCCGUGUGCCGCAAAGCAGAAUCCAGCUCCGACCCACCACGAAGGUUGUUAAUGCGCUAUUAAUGGUGUUGAAAUAUGAUGUUUUGGUUACAUGUACAAGCUGAGUUUGAAUAUGGAUGAAGUGUGAGCUUUCCACACGUGGUCACAGAGCAGCCAUCAUCCUCCGUGGGCAGCACCUGUCUUUGCUGUCCUGUGUGUGGUUAAGGCCCAAGGAAGAGUGGUGUGAUUGCAGCUGACUUACUUGAUCUUACUCUGUUGAGGACGGACUUCUCGUGAGGUCGGCUCAUGUAGUCGCUCCUGUAAUCGGCUUUUUGUUUAUGUUCUCAGUGCUGUUCGGCAAAUGCUGCAGGGACAUAGAGCACUGGCACGUAGCUGUCAGGAUUUGCCAUCUGGGAGGUGAUGUCCCGCCGAGCGCCCUGCUCCCUCCUGUCCCAGGCCUCUGUCACCUCCCAGAAGCUCCACACCCGCCCCUCGGUUUUCACUUCUCAGUCUCUGUAGCUGCCACCCCGCCUGUGCACAGAGCAGACAGACCCCCAGAAGUGAGCUCACUCGGGUUCUGGCCCGAGUCAACACUUACCUGCACCUGCCUUGUUUUCCUGGCCUCCUGUUCCAGUGGGAAGGAUCCUUUCCCCCAUCUGAGACCCUGGACCCCAUCCCCUCUCACCUCCUCAGAGACUUUCUUUCUCUGCCCAUUACCUGCCAUUCGCCAUUGACUCUCUCUUGCGAGCAUGUAAACCUACUCAAGUCUUACAAGUUAAAAACAAAACCGGGAGUUCCUGUUGUAGCUCAGUGGUAACAAAUGCAACUAGUAUCCAUGAGGACACGUGUUCGAUCUCUGGCCUCACGCAGUGGGUUAAGGAUCUGGCGUUGCCAUGAGCUAUAGUGUAGCACAGAUGUGGCUCAGAUCUGGCCUUGCUGCAGCUGUGGUGUAGGCCGGCAGCUGCAGCUCUGAUUCAGCCCCUCGCCUGGGAACUUCCAUGUGUCACAGGCCUGGCCCUGAGAAGCCAAAAAAAAAAAUAAAAUAAAAAUAAAAA